GACGAACGCCGGCGGUGUGCUUAACACAUGCAAGUGGAGCGACGAACCAGAGCUUGCUCUGGGGCAGAGCCGCGAACGGGUGAGUAACACGUGGGUAACCUACCCUGAUGACUGGGACAACCCGAGGAAACUCGGGCUAAUACCGGAUGUGCUCUCCUCUCACGAGAGAGGCGAGUAAAGGAAGCUUCGGCCUCCGCAUCAGGAGGGGCCCGCGGCCCAUUAGUUUGUUGGUGGGGUAACGGCCUACCAAGACUGCGAUGGGUAGCUGGUCUGAGAGGACGAUCAGCCCCACUGGGACUGAGACACGGCCCAGACUCCUACGGGAGGCAGCAGUGGGGAAUCUUGCGCAAUGCGCGACAGCGUGACGCAGCAACACCGCGUGGGGGAAGAAGGCCUUCGGGUUGUAAACCCCUUUCAGGAGGGACGAAGGCCGGCCGGUGAAUAGCCGUGCCGGUUGACGGUACCUCCACAAGAAGCCCCGGCUAACUACGUGCCAGCCGCCGCCGUAA
rnacentral:rRNA from 1 species